rnacentral:misc_RNA from 1 species
GGGGCACUGGAGCUGCGACGACGAAGAACGACACGUGACUGAUCCCGGCGAAGUGGCACGCGUAGCACAGACCCACACAAACAGAGAAGGAGUUUCACUCGGCCCGGCGCCCGCAGCGAACGAGAGUAACGGCACAACAUGGCUGCCGCCGGCUCCGGUCCUGAUAUCGAGGAGCUGGUGAAGCGCAUCACUUCUCACCGCGGCGUGCGUGGGUUCUUGAUCAUCAACAAUGAAGGCAUCGCCAUCCGCCAUAGCUUCACCGAGGCGUCGCGGGAGCUGGCGGUCCAGUAUGCGGCGCUUUUCCAACCGCUGGCUAUGAGCGCCAAGACAGUGCUGCAGGAGAUCGACAGCAACAACGAGCUCCAGCUCAUUCGGUUGCGCUCCAAGAAGGACGAGGUCAUUGUGGCACCAGAUAACAAGUACAUGCUCAUCAUCAUCCAAGAUGCUGAUAUGGACAAGGUAGAGGCUAAGAAGUGAGUGCGUGUGUCCGCACGCCGUGCAUGGCGUGCGCACCUCAUCUCUCUUUGUCUCUGUGUGUGUGUGUGGAGUGGGGGGGGGGGGUCUGGCUCGUGUUCUGUUGGUCUCUAUGAUGUAAAUACGGGAAUGUCAAGAUGCACGCGCAUGGGCAUGUGUGCGUGUGUGAAGAAAUGGUUGGCGAAUGUGUGGUGGGACAAGGAAACGGACGAGUGCGGAGAAGCGUAUGCGUCACUCAUAACGGGGAAGGAAGCACUGCUGGUGCGCCUCAUCACGGGAAGGCACACCACACGCACAUGUGCGCGCUGAUUCCGCUGCUCAGAUCGUGUCAUGCUCGUCCUCUUUCCGUAGCGCACUUCACUUGAUAGCGUACGCAUGUCCCACCCCUCUCUCCUCUCUUGGAGCCCCUGCCCCUCCUAAGCCCUGUUCCAUUGCCCUCACCAGGGCAUAUACAGGAGCGAUGAGCUGAGGUUUAUGUAGAAGAAGAUGUGCAUAUAUGCGUGUAUGUGCGUGUACAAAGGCAAGGUGGAAUGCUAUGUCGCCCAUUCGCCUCUGCAACCUCCCAACGUACCUACGCGCAUGUAUGUGUACGUGUGCAGCAACACAGGCACAUGGGUGCGUGAGGCCCGGGAAGAGGGGUUUGGCGAUGCCUUUCAGUGACACCGAUGAGAGGUUAUUCAGGAUGAGCGGCUUACCUCUCGUUG